UACGUAGGGACCAAGCGUUGUUCGGAUUUACUGGGCGUAAAAGGCGCGUAGGCGGCGUGGUAAGUCACUUGUGAAAUCUCUGAGCUUAACUCAGAACGGCCAAGUGAUACUGCUGUGCUAGAGUGCAGAAGGGGCAAUCGGAAUUCUUGGUGUAGCGGUGAAAUGCGUAGAUAUCAAGAGGAACACCUGAGGUGAAGACGGGUUGCUGGGCUGACACUGACGCUGAGGCGCGAAAGCCAGGGGAGCAAACGGG
rnacentral:rRNA from 1 species